rnacentral:ncRNA from 1 species
UCCGAGGGGUGCUUUUCUCAAGCUGAGAAAGUGAUGAACUCACUUAACCCUUUGAACCUGAUCCGGUUCGUACCGGCGAAGGGACAGGAAAACU